rnacentral:rRNA from 1 species
CGCCAGACUCCUACGGGAGGCAGCAGUGGGGGAUAUUGCACAAUGGGGGAAACCCUGAUGCAGCGACGCCGCGUGAGUGAAGAAGUAUUUCGGUAUGUAAAGCUCUAUCAGCAGGGAAGAAAAUGACGGUACCUGAGUAAGAAGCCCCGGCUAACUACGUGCCAGCAGCCGCGGUAAUACGUGGGGGGCAAGCGUUAUCCGGAUUUACUGGGUGUAAAGGGAGCGUAGACGGCAGUGCAAGUCUGAAGUGAAAGCCCCGGGCUUAACCCGGGAACUGCUUUGGAAACUGUACGGCUGGAGUGCUGGAGAGGUAAGCGGAAUUCCUAGUGUAGCGGUGAAAUGCGUAGAUAUUAGGAGGAACACCAGUGGCGAAGGCGGCUUACUGGACAGUAACUGACGUUGAGGCUCGAAAGCGUGGGGAGCAAACAGAAUUAGAUACCCCGGUACC